GUUCAGUGAUGAAUGCAAACAGACAAGCAUAUGGCUGAGUGUCUGUGAUGCCAGCUUACUUCUGAGAAC
ensembl:snoRNA SNORD27 Small nucleolar RNA SNORD27